CGGAGGUGAUGAACAAAGAAACUAUAACGUGCUCAAGGUCGUACAGAAACCUGUGGCAGAAGGCAGAGAAAGCACUAUUACUACAUGUGAUACUGAAACGAGUGAGGCAGUAGAUGAAAGGCACAGGUAUGUGGGAAAAAAUUGUCUUACAUACAGUGGCAUCUGCUUUUACCAUCCACUUGAGUAAUGAAAACAUAACAGACGGGAAGAAACAUCUGCCAACUGAGAAUUGUCAAACAGAGCCGUGAGUCCCAGAGUGGCAGAAGUCUGACCAAGCGCUUCUGUGGCUGCCAGUGAGAAAUGCGGUGUAUAGUGGAGAAGUACACGUUUCUUAUUAAAGAAAAGUUGGAGUUGUAUGAAACUUUUAGAUAGUCAUGUUUGUUGCUGGAACUGUCAACAUGUUUGGGCUACUUAAGACCACUGGAUUUUUCUGCUGUAUACUUAUAGUUUAACUGCUUUUAGUUAUUUUGGUUUGCUUCAAUUCAGCUGGCUGGUCAGGUUGUAUUUACAAUCAGUGGUGUUUGAAAGAUGAUUUAAUUUAAUAGAACGAUCUCAGUUUUACUAGAACUGUUCUCUUUUGACUUGGUUUCACUAUACCAUUUUCCAAAGAUCCAAAACAAAAAAUCUUCUUGCCUAUUUUGUCAAAUUUAAUCUAUUAAUGUUUUUACACAUUUCUGUUCUGGAGGGUGUUCUUACAUUACUUAGUAGUGAAAGGAUAAGAAGAAAGUUUGAGACAACUAACAUUACUGAUUAUAAAAUAUGUAAGUAUUUUAUUAUUAAAGUAAUGUGCUUAGCCAUGCCCAAAGCUUUGUUCUUAAAAAAAAAAAAAAAAAAAGAAAGAAAAAAAAGAGGCCUUUUGCCAGUAAAAUAAAAUUCCUAGAGAGCACAGAUGAUACUUGUUGGUAGAAGUGAACAAGUCUGCUCAUGCAGAGGGAGGAGAGGGCAGAGGAUUGAGAUGGAUUAAGGAUGUUUUUCUGGUCACAUGUGUUAACAGUUCUUCUGUGCUCCAUCUUCCUGAUAUUCCUUUUAAAGCGGACCUGUCCAGCAUGUUUUGGAUUAAUUUACUUGUGCUCUGUUUAAGAGAAAUGCAUUCAGGAUGUAAAACAUGUAUCUGGAGGGAAAAAAUAAAUAAAUAAAAAAACUAAAAAAAUGAGAAAAACCACCCACAUAUUAGUUUACCAGUCUUGUCAGUGAUGUAGAUUAUUAUUCAUAAGGUCUGUGGUUAACUACUAGCCUGUUGGUCUUAAAAACUGAGGUUUCACAGGUUUGAUUUGCUGUUCCUGUUGCUGUGUUAUAGUUUUGUUCUUGGAGGGUCUUUAAAGUAAGAAUUAAUUUUCAGUAGCAUCUACAUCCUUCUAUAACAAUUCAGUUAGGUGUAUUCCAAGGCACACAUGUAGAACAACAUUAAUUAAAUCAGCUAAGGGUAUGACCCACAGUGUUUAUUUGGUAACGGACGUAAACAUAGCCAAAACUUUAGGUCCUGGUAUAGACCUGAAGAGACUUCUUCAGAUCCUUGCAUUAAUGUAGGAUUUCUUUGUGAUGAAUCUGAUGAUGUAUUUCUAGAUGAAAAGAAGCAGGUGUUAUUUUCCUUCCUAAGCCCAAUGGAGACUAAGUAGCAAUUUUUUUCUCAGUAAUGAAAUACAUUUAUCAAGAUCUUUGUUUUCCAAAAGAGAAUCCAGGCAGAAUAUUUAUUGAGAUUCCCUGUAGCAGUGACUAUUGAGAAACCUUAUCCACUUAAUCCACUAGGGUACAAUAGCAAGCUUCCGUUCCCAGUGUGGGAAUAUACUGCACAUAUGCUCUGUGUUCUCUGACAGUGAGCCUUCUACUCUCAAUGCCUGCUAUGUUUCCAGGAUAUAUGCAGUAAGUUAAAUUCGUUACUAGAACAAGCUGUGAUUUUUUUCAUCCAGUGUCAUCCUCCCCUACAAGUGUGGACAAUUAUUAGUAGUUAGCUGCUGGAUAUUAACAUAGAGCACUAAAGCUAGGCCUCAGAGGACUCAAUUCUAAUGCUUGAAUGAACAUGUUCUUUGCUAGUGUGAGAAUGUUUCACUGAUGAGUGAUGGUCAAGUGUACAGUUGAUGAUCAAACUGACUUAGUGUUUAGUAGCUCAUUUCCAAGUAAAAUGGACAAGGCCUCCAAAUUUUACAGCUAAUAUUUAAAAUAAACAAACAAAUCUCUCCUUCCCUUUCCACAGAAAUCCUAAUCGGGAAAUUUUUGCAACUUUUGAUAACGAGUGGUGUAGAUUUUUGUUUUUUGCUUCAAAAAUAACAGAUAGACUGUGCCAUUGCAAGACUCAUUGCCACAUCUGGAGGCAAGUUGAUUCUCACAAGCUUUUAAGAGAGUUAUUAGCAAAAUAAAGGAUAAUAGCCUAAGUGCUAUUUCUAACAAAUUAACCUUUUACUUUGUACUGUGCAAUGGCCAAAUAUUAAUCAACAAGAAAAUAUGAACAAGUUAUCAACAUCUCUAUUAUUGUUUGUUUGUUUUUCAGUCAUAUCCUAGCCAUUCAAUAUGCACUGCACUGCAGCUGAAAAUGUUCAUUUUUGGGAGGAGCUGGGUUGGAGUCAAAUGAUACAUUAAGGGAUGUAUCCUUAAUUUUCCCAAAAGGGAA